UCAUUUGGAAGUCAAAAUAUUUAUGGAAGAUUUUUUUCACUAGAUUAUUCCUGUUACCACUGGCGUUCAGUAGGAUUAGGAAUGUGACCUAAUCCUACUCCUAGGAUUUCAAAAGGCAAAUGAGGUAACAGAAGAGAAAAUAGAACUGGACUUUAUUCAUUUCAACAAAGUGCACAGGAAAAGCUACAUGUGGACGAGCUCCUGCUACUUAGGCCCCCAAGCCAGUAUAAAUUCUGAUAGGUUUGAUGUGAUGUCUAACUAUCACUUUUAAUUUGUGUUUUGUUUAUGGGUUAUGAAUUAAUUUUUUUAAAUUCUAUUUUAGGCACCUAUAGUUUACAAUACUGUUACUGAUAGGGUUUUGCGCAUAGCACAGUCCUUCACCACAACUUCCCCUACUGUCCACUUCCCUCCACCAUUGCCAGGGUCUCCCCUUACUUUAACCCCAUCCUUCCUUUCCUUGUGUUAUAUUCCUGUUAUGUCUCUUUAUAUCCCACAUAUGACAAAAGUUAAUGUGUCUGUCAUGCUCCUUCUAACUCACUCAGCAAUAUGCUCUCCAGAUUCAUCCAUAUAGCAGCAAUUUCAUGGUUUCAUCUUUUCUUAUAGUUGAUUAGUAUUACAUUGUAUAUAUGGACUAUCUUUUAUCAGUCAUCUGUCCUUGGGCCCUUGGAUAGUUUGCAGAUUUAGGAUAUCAUGAACUGUGCUGCAAUGAUCAUAGGCAUGGGAAUGUCUUUUCUGACUUGAAGUGUUUUUGCUUUGGGGAUAGAUGCCAAGAAGUGGGGCUGCUGGGUCAUAUGGGAACUCAAUUCCUAGGUUUUUGAGGAGUGUCUAUAUUAUUUUCCAAAAAGACUGAACCAGUUGACACUCCCACCAGCAAUGAAUAAGUGCCCCUUUUCCUCCCACCACCACACCAGAACAGGUUGUUUUUGUAUUUUGUUGUGUAUGCCAAUAUCACUGGUGUGAGGUGAUAUCUCAUUGUUGUUUUGAUUUGCAUUUUCCUGCUUAUAAGUGAUGCAGAGCAACACAUUUUGACCACUUGUAUGUCUUCUUUGGGGAAGUUUCUAUUCCUUUCCCCUUUCCUAUUUAAAAUUUUUGUUUGUUUUGGGCUACACCUAGCUGUGCUCAAGGCUUACUCCUGGCUCUUUACUCAGGGAUCACUCCUGGUGGACUUGGUGGACCAUUUCUGGUGCUGGGGAUUGAACCCUAGUCAGCCACAUGCAAGUCAAGUGCCUUACCAGCUCUACUAUCUCUCCAGCCCUGGUUCUUUUUGUAAGGUUUUGCUAAUACUUUAUAUAUCUUGGAUAUUAACCCUUUACCCAAUGAAUGAUGAGUAAAUAUCCUCUCCCAGACUGUAGGGUGUCUUUUUAUUUUAGUCCUUUUUUUUUUGCAGUGCUAAAGCUUCUUAGUUUAAUGUAGUUCUGUUUAUCUUUACUUCUGUUUGCUUGGCCGUGGGGUUGAGUCAUUAAAGAUACCUCUUUCUUCCAUGUAAUGGAGUGUUCUGCCUAUGUUUUCUUUGAUAUAAUUUAUGGAUUAGGUCUGAUAUCAAGGUCUUCAAUCGAUUUUUAUUUGACUUUUGUGCAUGCAUUGAAUAUUUUUGCAUGUUCUUAUUUGCUCUCUGUAUUAACUCUUUUUUGUUUUGGGGCCACACCCAGUGAUGCACAGGGGUUACUGUUGGCUCUGCACUCAAAAAUUACUCCUGUUGGUUCUUGGGAGACCAUAUAGAGUGCUGGGGAUUGAAGCCAGGUUGGCUGCUUGUAAGGCAAUUACCCUACCCUCUGUAUUAUCACUCUGGUCCCUCUGUAUUUCUUCUUUGGUAAAGUGUCCCUAGGUAUUCAUUUAUGUCUUACUUGUUUUCUUCUUAAAAUUUUAUGUGGAAAAUUAUUCACAUAAUAUAGAUACUAAUUCUUUGGGGGAGGGGACACACUGAGUUAUGGCCUGGCCUGGGAUCAUAUCCUACCAGUAGCAUGUGUAUGUGUGUAUGUAUUGUGUAUAGGGGGGAGGGAUAUGUGAUAUCAGGGAUUGAACCUAGGAUCUUAUAAUUCCGAUUUGUUUGUUCAUUAUGUGAGUUUUUAAUUUAAAUGUAGAUUCCUUAGAUAUUCUAUGUAGCCAAUCAAGUGAGAUGCAAAUAGAAAUAAUUUUAAUUAUUUCUAUUAAACUGUCACUGUCAUCCCCUUGCUCAUCAGUUUGUUCGAGCGGGCACCAGUAACGUCUCUCAUUGAGAGACUUAUUGUUACUGUUUUUGGCAUAUCCAAUACGCACGGGUAGCUUGCCAAGCUCUGCCUUGCGGACUCCAUACUCUCGGUAGUUUACUGGGCUCUCCGAAAGGGGCGGAGGAAUCGAACACGGGUCGGCCGCGUGAAAGGCGAACGCCCAACCACUGUGCUAUCGCUCCAGCCCUAAAAUUAUUAAAAUUUAAUUUUAUCUAAAUAACAGCUAUACCAUCAUUUUUCUUGCCUUUUGCAGUCAUUAAAUCCUCAAGCACUGUGUUGAAUAUGAUUAGUGGGAUCAGACUUUUUUUGGAGGGGGCGCCACAUCUGGCGAUGCUCAGGUAUUCCUCCUUGCUCUGGCUCAGGGAUCACUCCAGACGGGGCUCCGGGGACCAUAUACGGUGCUGGGGAUCCCAGGUCAGCUGCAGAUCUUACCCAUUGUAGCCAUUGUACUAUCUUUACAGCCCCAAGAACAGAUUUUUGGCUAGCUCCUGAUUUUAGGAGAAAAAUACUCUUUAUCUCGUUUAAAUUCAAUUCUAUUAUUAUUUUUCUGUGCGCACUUAAACAGACUGUGUACAGGAGAACGUCUCGAGUGGUUCUCGGGCUGCAGACAGGAACGCGGAUGGGAUGGGCGGGAUCUGUGAGUCAGAUCCUGGUUCCUAGGAGAAUUCGCCCUAGCUCCGCCCCUUCCCUACAAGAUUUAAAGGGGAAGAUUCAGGGUGGCCUAAUGAGUUGGUCUUUAAAGCCAGAAGCUGGAAACUGACAACUGGAUAAAGAAAAUAUGUCGUCAAGUUACAACUAAAGGAAGGAAAAGAAACUGCCUGCAGCAAAUACCUAGGUUUUUUUUUUCACUGCAGAAUACUACUAAAGGAAAGAAGUGAAGAGAAGAAAUUGAAUUUUCAAAAGCAUCCUUGAUCUAAAUGUUGUUCCUGCCCCCCCACGCCUCCGCCCCCAAAUGAAUCUUUUCUUUUGUUUUAUAACUAUAUGAAAUAAAGAUGUAAGAGACCUGAAAACUAUAAUAAACAUAUUGUGUAUACUGCUUUUGUAGGGUGGAGUAUACUGUCAAUGUUGAUCAGAUCAUGUUGAUUGAUAGUAUUUUUCAGUUCUUAGAACAUCCUGGCUGGUAUUCCAUCUAAGUUGUACUAUAAUUGUUCAUAGAAUAUUAUUGAAACUUCUACUGCAAUUGUGUGUUUGUCCAUUUUUUGUUGCAGUUCUAUAAAUUUUAGCUUACAUGUUUUGCAGCUCUGUUAUUUGGUAUAUCAUUUAGGAUUGCUACAUCGCAAUAGCAGGUUGACCAUUUUAUUAUUGAUAUUUCUCUAGUAAUUUGGUUAUUAUUUUUGCUCUGAUGUCUACUUAAUCUAAUAUUAAGAUUAGAUCCUCUUUCCUUUAAUAUUCGCCCAGAGAGCCUAGCAGGCAUAGCAUGCUCCUGAGCCAGAUUUGAUAGUGGGUGCCAUAUGGCUUCCAGAGUCUCGCCACAUCCCCAGCACCCCGGGACCUAAGCAGCAUCGCAUUCUCAGGCCCCAACAUUUAACUGCCUGUCCAUUUGGCUGAGUUUAGCUGGGAGGGAGCUGUGAUCCUUGAGCACUGCUUGUGAGGCCCUUCAAAAAUAUUUGCCUGGUGGGGCCAGAGCAAUAGUACAGUGGGUGAGGUGCUUGCAUUGCAUGCUGCUGACGCCGGUUCAAACCUCAGCUUCUCCCCAAAGCACUGCCAGGAAUGAUUUCUAAGUGCAGAGCCAGGAAUAAUCCCUGAGCAUUGCCAGGUAUGGCCGAAAAACAACAACAACAAAAAUAUUUGCCUGGUAUGUGUUUUUUCAUGCUUUUAAUUUCAAUCUUCCUCAGGGCCAGAGAGCUUGGAGGUAUGCUGGCCCUGAGUUUGAUCCUCAGAUCUCCAGCACUACAUGGUCUCCUGAGUACCACCAAGAGCACAGGACCAGAGUAGUUCCAGAGAACCCCCUGGUCUGUCUGUCUGUAGCACUGUAGCACUGUCAUCCCAUUGCUCAUCGAUUUGCUUGAGCGGGCACCAGUAACGUCUCCAUUGUGAGACUUGUUAAUGUUUUUGGCAUAUAGGUAGCUUGCCAGGUUCUGCUGUGUGGGUGGGAUGCUCUUGGUAGCUUCCCAGGGUCUCCGAGAGAGAUGGAGGAAUCGAACCCGGGUCAGCCACAUGCAAGGCAAAUGCCCUACUCACUGUGCUAUCGCUCCAGUCCCUGGUAUGUCUAAAAAGAAAAAAAAAAAAGAAUAAAUCUUAUGACAGGAAACUUAGCUCAAUAGAUUGAAUGCAUGCUUUGCAUGCAGGAGACCUGAGUUUGAUUCCUGCACUGGGAGUAAUUCCUUAGCACAGUGCUAGGAGUAGCCCCUGACCACCACCAGGUGUGGGCCCCCAAACCAAAAUAAUAAUAGUAAUUCUGCCUGCUUAUUUUAUGUUUUAUUUAUUUGUUUUUUUUCCCUAGGGGGUGGAGUUUGAGCCAUACCUGGUAUACUUACCCCUUAUUCUAUGCUCAGUUGUCAUUCCUGGCAGUGUUAUGGGAUCAUAGGGGAUGCUGGGGAUUGAACUGGGUUGGCUGCAUGCAAGGUAAGCACCUUACCUGCUAUACUGUACCUGCUACACUAUAUCUGUUGUUAUAUGUGAAAUGAGUUUCUUAUAGACAGCGUGGGUUGGUUCAUUUAUUGGAAUAUACUUUUUUUUUGUUUUGGGGUCACACCCAGCUGUGCUUAGGACUUACUUUUGGCUCUGUGCAUAAGUAUCACUCUUGGUGGGAUUUGGGGGACCAUAUAUGUACCAGAGACCAAAUCCAGAUCAGGCUCAUUCAAGGCAAGCGCCUGACCCACUGUAUCAUCUCUCCAGCUCCUGGGUCAUUUUGGUUAUUUUUGAAUUUAGGUCCACACCUGGUGGUGCUCAGGGCUUACUUCUGGCUCUGUGCUCAGGUGAGACUUGGGGGACCAUAUGUGGUGCCAACCCUGGUUGACUGCAUGUAAGGCAAGUGCCCUACCUGAUGUACUAUUUAUCUGGUGCCUGGGUCAAGUUUUUAUUAUUAUUAUUAUUAUUAGUGAAUCACCGUGGAGUACAGUUACAAACAUAUGAACUUUCUUGUUUGCAUUACAGUCAUACAAUGAUUGUUUACCCAUCCCUCCACCAGUGCCCAUUCUCCCCCACCAAUGUUCCCAGCAUCCCUCCCACCACCCCCACCCCAUCCCCCGCCAUCCCACCCCACUUCAGCAGCAGGGCGUUCCCUUUUAUUCUCUCUCCUUUUGGGUGUUGUGGUUUGCAAUAGAGGUAUUGAGCGGCCAUCAUGUUCGGUCUAUAGUCUAUUUUUGGCAUGCAUCUCCCAACCCGAACAAGUCCUCCCAACAUCCUCUACUUGGUGUUCCCUGGGUCAAGUUUUAACCCACUCUGCCAUUCUCUAUUUUUCAAUUGGUAUAUUUAAAUCAAUUGCAUUUAAUAUAAUUGUUGAUAUAUUAGGGCUUAAUUCUGCAAUUUUGUUUUUUUUCUCUGUUAUAUCUGUUUUGUCUCUCUUCCUCUCUCUUGCCUACCUAUGGGUUGUCUUGUCACUUGUCUUCCCAUUGAUCUAUUUGCCCGAGCGGGUGCCAGUAAUGUCUCCAUUUGUCCCUGUCACGUGCUUGUGUAGCCCAAUGGUAUCUGCUUGCUCCAGGAACAGGAAAAGCCUCAAACCGUUCAUUCAGGGUUCUGACAAAGAAGUCUGACCAUCUCAUAGGUUGAUGUCCCGUGGAAUCCAGUUGGUAACAGCUCUAGUCCAGCGGUCAUCUCUGAAUCACAUUAUGUGUCCAGCCCAUCUGAUUUUUGACGUCUUGGCAAACAAGACAGCGUCCCUGAUUCUUGAUCACCGACGGAGGAAAUCUUCAUGCCGUUUGAGAGUAAACUGGAGUGCUCAAUGUUUGCCUCCCCCCAGGAGUAUCUGGAACAGCCCUUGGAAAACAUUCGCAUCCACCUGCCUUCAGCACUCCCCAGUCUCAGGAUCCGAACAGGCGCCUUUGGAAAGCACCAGGGCUCAGUGUCCACAUAGGCCCAGUCCUUGUGUCUGACUAUCCAUGCUAAGCUGCAAAGCAAGGAGCAUGUGACCAAGACUCUCUGCUGGGCAAAGUUCCCUCGGCCACCAGAAAUUCUACUCCAGGAUAUGGGACUUUAUCAUAUUUAAAGUGGAUGAGUGGGGUUGGAGAGAUAGCACAGCGGGUAGGGCGUUUGUUUGCCUUGCACGCGGCCAAUCCAGGGUUCGAUCCCCAGCAUCUCGUAUGGUCCCCUGAGCACCGCCAGGAGUAAUUCCUGAGUGCAGAGCCAGGAAUAACCGAGUGUGACCCAAAAAGCAAAAAAUAAAAUAAAGUGGAUGAGUUUGAAGAUAUGAUUACUAAGAAGCGGCACCUCCAAAAUGGCUGUGGGGUCAAAUAUACCUUUAUCAUGGCUCUGAGUAAACCCAUGGUGCGGGAGGUUGGCGGGGAGGGAGGUGCGGAAUUCCUGAGAGCCUCAGAACUGCCUCUCCUCACUUCCUGCCAAUCCCCUCAUUAAAUUUUCUGAAAGGUUGGGGGGGGGUUAUUGUUCUUUUGUAACUAAGAAGCACUUUUGUGAAGAUGCUUUCCUUUUUCUUUUUGGGUCAUACCUGGCGAUGCACAGGGGUUACUCCUGGCUCUGCACUCAGGAACCACUCCUGACGGUGCUCAGGGAACCAUAUCGGAUGCUGGGAAUCGAACCCCGGUCGGCCACAUGCAAGGCAAACGCCCAAUCCACUGUGCUAUUGCUCCAUCCCAGAAGAUGCUUUAAUGAUAAGUUAAAUUCUGUUUCUAAUAAAAUU